CCUUGUACACACCGCCCGUCACACCAUGGGAGUCGGUUGCUCCAGAAGUGGUGGCUUCAACCCGCAAGGGAGAGGCGCCCCUAAGGAGUGGCCGGUAACUGGGGUG
rnacentral:rRNA from 1 species